rnacentral:lncRNA from 1 species
AGAUAAAUAAGAGUUGUUGGCAGCAGCAACCUACACAUGUGGAAACAGUGGCUAUGGCGGCUCAAAGGGAAGUUGUGGCUGCUAGAUAGCAACUCACAACUUAGUGUCGGCUCAAAGUACAUAUAAUCUAUUUCUUCUUGGAGCUAUCUACUAUCAUAUUAUGACUCGGUGCUAGCUGAAGCUUCUAUUUUCUCGCCUUUUGUGGUGGUGAUGAUUCCUUCAACUGCAAUAGUUUUUCUACAUGCCAUUGUAAGUGUAGGUUUUCUACACUUAAGCCUCUCGCAUUGCAAAAAGCUACAUUCCAUUGUUUUUCUACGUGCCAUUGUAAGUGCAGGUUUUCUACCGGCUUCAACAUAGAUAGUUAGCAUGCGAGAGGCUUAACUGUAGCUUUUUGCGAUGCUAGACAUAUUCAGUACUGAAAAUCUAGACUGUUCUUUCCACUCUGUAACAACUUCUAUGCUUGCGCCACCAUGAUAUCAGUACAACAUUUCCCUAUAAAAUUUUGUUAGUUGCAUGUAAACUGAAUUGAUUUACCAGUAAAAAUCUGGACAACUCAUUCCAGUCGAUAAUAACCAUUGUGGCAUUACCAUGAUAUGUCAUGUAUUUGCUCUGAGUCGUAGUAUGUUGCAAAAAGUACAAUAAGAGAUAGAAUGUAUGCACUAUGGCUAGCAGUAACAUUUUUUUGACUUGUAGAACAUUUGAUCUAUCUAUAUCUGCAGGCUAUUCCUCAUGUUGCAACCUUUUCCCGUAGAAUCAAAAGGAAUUAGAUGGAAGAAAUUGCAGGAGGUACUACUUCGUGUUCCAUUUGUCUUACUUUUGGAGGCUUGUCUAUAUAGUCUUAGUGUCGGAGGUGUGUCAAUAGUAGUAUUAGCUUUGGAGGCUUGUCUAUACUAGUCUUAUUUUUUGGAUUACGUUUCUUUCCACCUGCAUCCUCUUCAUAAUGGAUUAUGUUUCUUUGUUAUUGCCAUGUGUUAUUUUCUGUCAUUACUGUGAUCAUCCGCUCUCUUAACAGUGGUUGUUCUUGCUUUAUGUAUGCCUUCUCAGUGCACUUUUAUUAGUUCUAAUACAUUAAUAUAAUAUGCUCGGUUGACCAUAUUAAUUAUAUAUUUCACUUCACCGGGGCUGUUGGUCGAAGUGUUGGUUAAAAUAUUUUGGUGGCAGUGUAUAAAACUAAUUGUUGUACACCAUUGUUAAGUGCGCUUUUGAGCUUUGAGUAGACAACUGUGGUCAUAAUUACUUUAAAGAAUCGUUAGUAUAUAUUACUGUCGGAUUUCCAUGUUCAGUUAUUCACACUAUAUUAUUGCUUGAUUCUGAUAGCUUGCUAUUAUUAGAGCAGGAAGGGUAUUCCUGGUGUGACAUUCAAAGGCAGUCAAAACGGCGAGGUUUAGAACGGAGGAGUUCUGUGGAAUUAUGGAUAAAAAAUUAUCAAUAACAUGUCUGUCAUUGCUCAUGUCGACCAUGGUAUGUGACCGAGUGGUGACAGUUGUCUCUAAUUAUCAAUUUUAUAUAGAGUCUUCUUGAUUGAUGAUUUUGUAGCCUUCUCUUAGUUGUACCAUAUUAAUUCUUAAAACUGGAUCAUUUAAAAUUAGUUAGAUUUAAUGAGUUGUUUCACUGUUUUCAAAUAAGUAGUUUAAGCCCUUAUUGUGUUCUUGAGCCUAUUCUUUCUGCCUUUUUAUGAUUGAUUUAUGCUCUCACAAGCUUAAAUGUAACUAUUGACAUAUGAUCUCAUGGCUCAAAGUCUUAGUUGUUGAAUGUAUUAAAAUCUAUAAGAUCUGGAGUUUGCACUAUAUUUCAUCCAGCGGUAUUCCCAGUAACUGAAUGUUAAGAGCAUGACGAUCCCAGGUUGUACAUUCAGGUACUGGGAAAUGCUUUUAUCUUGUAGGCCAGUUUUACAUUUACUUUCUCAAUAACGAGAUGACCAUGAACAAGGUAUCAAGGUAUUUUCCUUGGCAUUAUUAACGUUGUGUUCAGAUUACUAAAAGAAGGAUUGAUAGAGGCAUACCUUAACUCGACUGAUGCUUUAACUGCUGCCUCUCUAAGCCUUGAUUAGCCAUGGAGAUACUCAAGUUCCAAAUCCCCAAGUGAGGCCAUCCUUCUAAGAUCCGUUCAACAGUUCAUUAAUUUGUUUGAAAUAUAUAUCUAUAUUCCAAUAUUGCUCAAUCUCCAGCUGGCCUCUAGGUUAUCAGAUGAAAUCCGGUUAAAUUUUAGGGAGGUUGAGUAGGAGUGUUUGGAACUAAAGGCUUUGUUGUUGUUGUUUGAGUAGAAGUAUCUCCCUUUUCCGUAUAAAUUUUGUUGCUAUGAAUAGUUGCAUUGUUACGUCAGUGAAAACUUCCUGCGCGUACUAUGUGUUCCUCUAGACUUGAUUGAAAGUAUACCUUAUGUUAUCCAGUUUCUCACUACACAUGUUACCUUUGUUGCUGAAUUUUGCCUAUUGUUUAUAUAUAGUAGACUCACAUGAUUACCUGAUGACUCAUUCACGCAAGAACUAUUGUUAAUUUUUUCCUUUUCUGCAAUGAUGGUCGUAGCCCUUUGAUUCUACAAGCCGCAAAGGAGUGAAGUGUAGAAAAUAUGUCCAUUGUCGUUGAAUUGGUGGGAUUGUCACCAAGUUAGUGCUGCAGAUUGUUUCUAUUUUAGAGCAAGAAGCCAAAUCAUGUAGUUCAUUGUAAAUCUUGAAAAACUUGUUUAUUGUCACUUCUAUAUCUGUUAUAAACUUUUUUUCGUGAUGUGGUACUUGUCAAUCUUGGUUUGCCCUUCCAUUUCAAGUCUGCCCUUAAAUUCUAGCAGACCAAAAAGUACUUGUUUCUUCAAUUGGUUUAUCGUUUCAUGUUUGCACUUAUAUUACAGUACAACAUUUCAUAAACAUGGCAUUGGGCAUUGUUUGUCCAG